rnacentral:rRNA from 1 species
GAUGAACGCUGACAGAAUGCUUAACACAUGCAAGUCAACUUGAAUUUGGGUUUUUAACUUAGAUUUGGGUGGCGGACGGGUGAGUAACGCGUAAAGAACUUGCCUCACAGCUAGGGACAACAUUUAGAAAUGAAUGCUAAUACCUGAUAUUAUGAUUUUAAGGCAUCUUAGAAUUAUGAAAGCUAUAAGCACUGUGAGAGAGCUUUGCGUCCCAUUAGCUAGUUGGAGAGGUAACAGCUCACCAAGGCGAUGAUGGGUAGCCGGCCUGAGAGGGUGAACGGCCACAAGGGGACUGAGACACGGCCCUUACUCCUACGGGAGGCAGCAGUGGGGAAUUUUGGACAAUGGGCGCAAUCCUGAUCCAGCAAUGCCGCGUGAGUGAAGAAGGCCUUCGGGUUGUAAAGCUCUUUUGUCAGGGAAGAAACGGUGGGAGCUAAUAUCUCCCACAAAUGACGGUAUCUUAGAAAACUCUCCGGCUAUAUCCCUAUAAGGGGCCGCGGUCAAUGGCGGGGGGGA